UUGAGGGGAAGAAAGGGAAUAAAAAUGGAAGAGUAAAUAGAGAGGGAACUUUACCAAGCUGGCACCUUUCAGCUCCGAUAAAUAUUUAACAGCCUGCAUCCUCAUGCCUGUUAUGAAAUCUAAGGCAUUAGCUCCUUGCAACUUCAAAACUCACCCUCUUCCCUGAGAGAAUUUCAGCCUUCAGCUGUUGCCAAGGGAAUUCCCAAACCAAGAGGACAGCAGGUGGAAAUAUCGUUGGCAAAAUCUCAACCAUUACUACCUGGGCAAGAGAAUUCGCCGCUUCACGAGCUGGUGACCUCUCACCCUUGAGGGGUCACCCAUGCCGCCAACCCAGGAACAGUUCUCAACAGCGCCUGCUUGAGCCCCGAGACGGAGAUGUGACCCCAAGUGGAGCGGCCCCUCCUCUGCUCCCCGGCCUCCUUCCCGACGCCUCCUGGCUGGGACCGAGUUUCCUGACCAGAGUGGCUCCCUGGGCCUUGGCUGACUGAUGGCUGUAAUGCUGCUUGCAAUAAAAG